UUUUUUUUUUUUUGAAAGGUCAAGAUAAAUUAUACUAUAAAUGAAGAGUACAAGGGGUACUCAACCCUAUAUAGUACAGAUCCAUUACUAAGAAGCAGAAGUUACAACAAAUGAGGAAUACAAUCUCUUGGAUGUAAGCACCAAUCGUUAACAGAGUAGCAAAAUGUGCACGUAACCAUUUCCAAGAAUUAAUCUUCUCUCUCGCUUUCUUUACUAGUCUAAGAAAUUCGGUUUUGAGAUAAUCAUUAUGAUGUACUUCCAUACAGGGCUGGCCCUUAUGUUGUAGAAGUGAGGCAAUGGCCUAGGGCUCCAAAAUAUAAACCCAAUAGAAUUAUCAUACCCUAUUAAAAAAAAAAUACAUAUAUCUACCUAAACCAGCGAACAGAGCAACAACAAAACUAAAAAAAAUAAUAUUUGGUAUCCCUCAAUUCAACGGUAACACAGAAUUACAGAAACGGCUCUCUCUGGCUUCAGAAGCCAGAAAUUAGAAACGACUCUCUCAUCUCUCUCUCGCUGCUCAGCACUCUCUCUCUCGAGUCAAGGCUCGUAUCUCAAUUAUCUCUUUGUGCAUUUGCGCUAUGGACCUACGGUGCACUUGCCUUCUCUAGAAGAUCUAAAUUAUUGUAUAAUUAUUUGAUCAUUGUUUUUUAGUUUAUUGUACUUCACAAUUAAUGUUACACGUGUAUAUCUAUCUUAAAUUUGCUACAACUUCUCCAAACUUUAUCUUAAAUUUGCUACAACUGCUUCCAUGUCUCCUGGUUUUUGUGAAUUGUUAUUCCUAAUAAUGUGUCGAUCAAUGUACCAUCAGUCCCAGGGCUCAUUCAUGUUUACAAGAGAAGCACAAUAAUAAAUUAAAUAUGUUUAUCGAUGUAAAAUAAUGGAGUACAUGAGAUGAGAGAGGGAGCACAUGAUUUAUUCCAAAAUAAUACAGAGGAGAAUCUCUUAAAGUUCGCAAAUAAAAGAUAAAAUAAAUUCCACAUGACUACAACAGAAUACAAAUUUUGAGGAGGUAGGUAGACAGCAUAUUCCACAAUAUUGAGCCUCAGUUGUGAUAAAAUAUCUGGCAUUUUCGGCUGAUUCAAGUAGACAUCUAAGAGAUGAGACGUUGAGCUGCCAUCCUCUUCUUCCUUAACCUCUCCGAAACGAUGAAGGCCAGUUCCAGUGACUGUGAUGCGUUCA
rnacentral:lncRNA from 1 species